AUUGAACGCUGGCGGCAGGCCUAACACAUGCAAGUCGAACGAGUGGCGGACGGGUGAGUAAUGUCUGGGAAACUGCCUGAUGGAGGGGGAUAACUACUGGAAACGGUAGCUAAUACCGCAUACCAUCAGAUGUACCCAUAUGGGAUUAGCUUGUAGGUGGGGUAACGGCUCACCAAGGCGACGAUCCCUAGCUGGUCUGAGAGGAUGAUCAGCCACACUGGAACUGAGACACGGCCCAGACUCCUACGGGAGGCAGCAGUGGGGAAUAUUGCACAAUGGGCGCAAGCCUGAUGCAGCCAUGCCGCGUGGAUGAAGAAGGCCUUCGGGUUGUAAAGUACUUUCAGCGGGGAGGCGUUACCGGCAGAAGAAGCACCGGCUAACUCCGUGCCAGCAGCCGCGGUAAUUC
rnacentral:rRNA from 1 species